rnacentral:rRNA from 1 species
ACUCCUACGGGAGGCAGCAGUGGGGAAUUUUGGACAAUGGGGGAAACCCUGAUCCAGCCAUCCCGCGUGUGCGAUGAAGGCUUCGGGUUGUAAAGCACUUUUGUCAGGGAAGAAAAGGUUCUGGCUAAUACCCGGAACUGAUGACGGUACCUGAAGAAUAAGCACCGGCUAACUACGUGCCAGCAGCCGCGGUAAUACGUAGGGUGCAAGCGUUAAUCGGAAUUACUGGGCGUAAAGCGUGCGCAGGCGGUUCGGAAAGAAGGAUGUGAAAUCCCAGGGCUCAACCUUGGAACUGCAUUCUUAACUACCGAACUAGAGUAUGUCAGAGGGGGGUAGAAUUCCGCGUGUAGCAGUGAAAUGCGUAGAUAUGCGGAGGAAUACCGAUGGCGAAGGCAGCCCCCUGGGAUAAUACUGACGCUCAUGCACGAAAGCGUGGGUAGCAAACAGGAUUAGAUACCCUGGUAGUCCACGCCCUAAACGAUGUCAACUAGCUGU